UUCUGGGAGGAUUGACAGAUUGAGAGCUCUUUCUUGAUUCGGUGGAUGGUGGUGCAUGUUCUUUCUUAGUUGGUGGAGAAAUUUGUCUGGUUAAUUUCGAUAACGAACGAGACUCUAGUCUAUUAAAUAGGUGCGUGGUUCUCUGCAUCCUUGCACCCUUCUCAGAGGGACAAGCGGCUCCUAGCCGCACGAAACAGAGCAAUAACAGGUAUGUGAUGCCUUUAGAU
rnacentral:rRNA from 1 species